rnacentral:misc_RNA from 1 species
CGGCAUUCAGGAAAGAACUUAAUGAACCAACAGUGAAGGCGAACGCCGUCGGAGGAUCUGAGCCAAACGUCUUCGUAAAGGAGUCGGAGGCGGGCAGGAGUUAUAGAAUAGGAUUUGGUGAGACCGGGCAAGACAGGGACGUAGACUAACCUCUCUUGGAAAGCCACGAGCAGCGCCAUCCCUGCCAUCACUAUGCCGCCCACUCCGUACAGCAACGCACUGACGUACGACCCCAUAUUCUGGGAUAGCUUGUCGUUUAGAU